rnacentral:rRNA from 1 species
CGAUACCGAGAGGCUUGCUUCUCGGGAAAGUGGCGCACGGGUGCGUAACGCGUAUGCAACCUACCUCAAUCAGGGGGAUAGCCCGAAGAAAUUCGGAUUAACACCGCAUAAAAUCACAGGAUAGCAUUAUCUAAUGAUCAAAUAUUUAUAGGAUUGAGAUGGGCAUGCGUGUCAUUAGUUAGUUGGCGAGGUAACGGCUCACCAAGACCACGAUGACUAGGGGAUCUGAGAGGAUGACCCCCCACACUGGUACUGAGACACGGACCAGACUCCUACGGGAGGCAGCAGUAAGGAAUAUUGGUCAAUGGAGGCAACUCUGAACCAGCCAUGCCGCGUGCAGGAAGACAGCCCUCUGGGUCGUAAACUGCUUUUAUUCGGGAAUAAACCUACUUACGUGUAAGUAGCUGAAUGUACCGAAGGAAUAAGGAUCGGCUAACUCCGUGCCAGCAGCCGCGGUAAUACGGAGGAUCCAAGCGUUAUCCGGAUUUAUUGGGUUUAAAGGGUGCGUAGGCGGCUUAUUAAGUCAGGGGUGAAAGACGGUGGCUCAACCAUCGCAGUGCCCUUGAUACUGAUGAGCUUGAAUACACUAGAGGUAGGCGGAAUGUGACAAGUAGCGGUGAAAUGCAUAGAUAUGUCACAGAACACCGAUUGCGAAGGCAGCUUACUAUGGUGUCAUUGACGCUGAGGCACGAAAGCGUGGGGAUCAAACAGGAUUAGAUACCCUGGUAGUCCACGCCCUAAACGAUGAAUACUCGCUGUUAGCGAUACACAGUUAGCGGCUAAGCGAAAGCGUUAAGUAUUCCACCUGGGGAGUACGGUCGCAAGAUUGAAACUCAAAGGAAUUGACGGGGGCCCGCACAAGCGGAGGAGCAUGUGGUUUAAUUCGAUGAUACGCGAGGAACCUUACCCGGGCUUGAAAGUUAGUGAAUCAUUUAGAGAUAGAUGAGUGAGCAAUCACACGAAACUAGGUGCUGCAUGGCUGUCGUCAGCUCGUGCCGUGAGGUGUUGGGUUAAGUCCCGCAACGAGCGCAACCCCUAUGUUUAGUUGCCAGCACGUUAAGGUGGGGACUCUAAACAGACUGCCUGUGCAAACAGAGAGGAAGGAGGGGACGACGUCAAGUCAUCAUGGCCCUUACGUCCGGGGCUACA